rnacentral:rRNA from 1 species
GUGCCAGCAGCCGCGGUAAAACGUAGGAGACAAGCGUUAUCCGAAUUUACUGGGCGUAAAGCGCGUGCAGGUGGUUUGGCAAGUGGAAUGUGAAAUCUCCCGGCUCAACUGGGAGGGGCCGUUCCAAACUGCCAGACUAGAGGGCGGUAGAGGGAGGUGGAAUUCCCGGUGUAGUGGUGAAAUGCGUAGAUAUCGGGAGGAACACCUGUGGCGAAAGCGGCCUCCUAGACCGUACCUGACGCUCAGACGCGAAAGCUAGGGGAGUGAACGGGAUUAGAAACCCCGGUAAUCCUAGCCGUAAACGAUGUGGACUGGGUGUCGGUGGGGUAAAAGCCAUCGGUGCCGAAGCCAACGCGAUAAGUCCACCGCCUGGGGACUACGGCCGCAAGGUUAAA